rnacentral:rRNA from 1 species
UUGGAGGGCAAGUCUGGUGCCAGCAGCCGCGGUAAUUCCAGCUCCAAUAGCGUAUAUUAAAGUUGUUGCAGUUAAAAAGCUCGUAGUUGAACUUCGGGGUCUACCCAUUGGUCAGGCUUAAUUGUCUGCACUGGUGAGAUGGAUCUCUACCUUCUGAGGAACUUUCAUGCCAUUUAUUUGGUGUGAUGGGAAAUCAGGACUGUUACUUUGAAAAAAUUAGAGUGUUUAAAGCAGACUAUCGUCUGAAUACAUUAGCAUGGAAUAAUGAAAUAGGACGGACUGAUUCUAUUUCGUUGGUUUCUAGGAUCACCGUAAUGAUUAAUAGGGAUAGUUGGGGGCAUUAGUAUUCAAUUGUCAGAGGUGAAAUUCUUGGAUUUAUUGAAGACUAACUACUGCGAAAGCAUUUGCCAAGGAUGUUUUCAUUAAUCAAGAACGAAAGUUAGGGGAUCGAAGACGAUCAGAUACCGUCGUAGUCUUAACCAUAAACUAUGCCGACUAGGAAUCAGACGAUGUUAAUUUUUUAAUGACUCGUUCGGCGCCUUACGGGAAAC